CUCCUAAUAGCUCAAUGGACAGAGCACUAGCUUGCGGUGCUAGAGGUUAUAAGUUCGACUCUUAUUUAGGAGGCCA
rnacentral:tRNA from 3 species